rnacentral:rRNA from 1 species
CCUACGGGAGGCAGCAGUAGGGAAUUUUCCACAAUGGGCGAAAGCCUGAUGGAGCAAUACCGCGUGCAGGAUGAAGGCCUUCGGGUCGUAAACUGCUUUUAUGUGCGAAGAAUUUGACGGUAACACAUGAAUAAGGAUCGGCUAACUACGUGCCAGCAGCCGCGGUCAUACGUAGGAUCCAAGCGUUAUCCGGAAUUACUGGGCGUAAAGAGUUGCGUAGGUGGCAUUAUAAGUGGAGCGUGAAAGCGUGCGGCUCAACCGCAUUAUUGCGUUCCAAACUGUGAAGCUUGAGUAUGGGAGAGGUAGAUGGAAUUUCUAGUGUAGGAGUGAAAUCCGUAGAUAUUAGAAGGAACACCGAUGGCGUAGGCAGUCUACUGGCCCAGUUACUGACACUAAGGCACGAAAGCGUGGGGAGCAAACGGGGAUUAGAUACCCCGGUAGUCCACGCUGUAAACUAUGGAUGCUAGCUGUGACACACAUCGACCUGUGUCGUAGCGAAGUUAACGCGUUAAGCAUCCGCCUGGGGAUACGGUCGCAAGAUUAAAACUCAAAUGAAUUGACGGCUGAGACGNGCGAGACGACGACGAGGAGGAG